CCCUGGUCUUCUCAUGACCGCCUCAUUUUCCCGAGAAAACAGAGGGAACCCACGCACGUGGGCGUCCUCUGGAGAGGGCGCUGGGUGUGGAGAGAAGACUGUGAUCCUGAAGUCGCGCAGACACGGGUUCAAAUCUCGCCUCUGCCCCUUGUUGGCUGACGGGCUUUGGGGAAUACGUUUCCAGUGAUCAAUCGGUGGAAGCUUCCAGAAGAAGAUGUAGACUCCCUUUCUAGCCCCUUCCUCGGCUUUGCGACGGAGGUGUCCCCCGUGGAGGCUCCAGGAGGAGGAGGAGGAGGGACAGUCCCCAUGGCAACUGACGGAGAGGCGCUUUUCAGCUUGAGAAGAACCUUUGUAACAAUGGAGCUGUCCGAAUGCCGUGAAUACUGAUGGAAACAGAUGGCUCCCCUCCACACCACCGCCAAGAGGAGGGGCUGCUAGGGC